AGAGCGAACGCUGGCGGCAGGCUUAACACAUGCAAGUCGAGCGGGCGUAGCAAUACGUCAGCGGCAGACGGGUGAGUAACGCGUGGGAACGUACCUUUUGGUUCGGAACAACCCAGGGAAACUUGGGCUAAUACCGGAUAAGCCCUUACGGGGAAAGAUUUAUCGCCGAAAGAUCGGCCCGCGUCUGAUUAGCUAGUUGGUGAGGUAAUGGCUCACCAAGGCGACGAUCAGUAGCUGGUCUGAGAGGAUGAUCAGCCACAUUGGGACUGAGACACGGCCCAAACUCCUACGGGAGGCAGCAGUGGGGAAUAUGGACAAUGGGGGCAACCCUGAUCCAGCAAUGCCGCGUGAGUGAUGAAGGCCUUAGGGUUGUAAAGCUCUUUCGCCCGCGACGAUGAUGACGGUAGCGGGAGAAGAAGCCCCGGCUAACUUCGUGCCAGCAGCCGC
rnacentral:rRNA from 1 species